rnacentral:piRNA from 1 species
UCCCCAGGUAUUUUUUCCUGACCUAA